GAUGAUAAUUGCUGAUGACAAUCUCUGGCUAUUUAUCUAAAGGAACACCCUGAUUCACGUUCAUACCGCAGAACCCUUCCUAGUUAUAAUGAUUUGUUCUUGAUUUAUGGAAAUGCAAAUAUAAAUGGGUGGCAUUUGGAGGCAGAAAAUUGUGCUGGUGAAGAGGAGGAUGAAUCCAGUAGCAGUCCGACGAGGGUGCAUGGAAUUGGUAGUGUGGGUAUAAAAUCAGAGAUUGACAAUGAUGCUCUCGAUAUGGGUUUCGAUGAUAUCUUCGGCGAUCUGAAAUCUCUGGCAGCAGAGUUUGAGAUACCCGAUCAAAGGAAAAAGCGGAAAACUGAUGCUUCAUCAACUCCAGCCUCAAGGAAAGCCUCGAGAACCUAUCAAGGAAGAUUGCAUCCAUGCCUGGUAUGGCUUGAAGAGCAUCAACUAUGCUUUCAAUUAUGUUCACUUUCUUAGCAUCUGUAUAGCGCUUUCUUAGCAUGUAAAUUAUGUUCACUUUCACUUCACCUGUUAAUGUCCUUGA